GGACAUUUGGCCGAGCGGUUAAGGCGCCAGCUUCAGGAUAUUCCACAUAUCUCAAAUAAAAUUGAGACUUAUGGGGUUGACCUUGCUGGUCCGAAAGGGCGAGGGUUCGAAUCCCUCAGUGUUCA